GAUCCUGGCUCAGGAUGAACGCUAGCGGCAGGCUUAACACAUGCAAGUCGAGGGGUAUAUAUCUUCGGAUAGAGAGACCGGCGCACGGGUGCGUAACGCGUAUGCAAUCUACCUUUUACAGAGGGAUAGCCCAGAGAAAUUUGGAUUAAUACCUCAUAGCAUAGCAGCUUCGCAUGAAGCCACUAUUAAAGUCACAACGGUAAAAGAUGAGCAUGCGUCCCAUUAGCUAGUUGGUAAGGUAACGGCUUACCAAGGCUACGAUGGGUAGGGGUCCUGAGAGGGAGAUCCCCCACACUGGUACUGAGACACGGACCAGACUCCUACGGGAGGCAGCAGUGAGGAAUAUUGGACAAUGGGCGCAAGCCUGAUCCAGCCAUGCCGCGUGCAGGAUGACGGUCCUAUGGAUUGUAAACUGCUUUUAUACGAGAAGAAACACUACUUCGUGAAGUAGCUUGACGGUAUCGUAAGAAUAA
rnacentral:rRNA from 1 species